rnacentral:rRNA from 1 species
UACGUAGGGUGCGAGCGUUAAUCGGAAUUACUGGGCGUAAAGCGUGCGCAGGCGGUUUUGUAAGCCAGAUGUGAAAUCCCCGGGCUUAACCUGGGAAUGGCAUUUGGGACUGCAAGGCUUGAGUGCGGCAGAGGAGACUGGAAUUCCUGGUGUAGCAGUGAAAUGCGUAGAUAUCAGGAGGAACACCGAUGGCGAAGGCAGGUCUCUGGGCUGACACUGACGCUCAUGCACG